rnacentral:rRNA from 1 species
UUGGGUAACACUAACUGGAGGACCGAACCGACUAAUGUUGAAAAAUUAGCGGAUGACUUGUGGCUGGGGGUGAAAGGCCAAUCAAACCGGGAGAUAGCUGGUUCUCCCCGAAAGCUAUUUAGGUAGCGCCUCGUGAAUUCAUCUCCGGGGGUAGAGCACUGUUUCGGCAAGGGGGUCAUCCCGACUUACCAACCCGAUGCAAACUGCGAAUACCGGAGAAUGUUAUCACGGGAGACACACGGCGGGUGCUAACGUCCGUCGUGAAGAGGGAAACAACCCAGACCGCCAGCUAAGGUCCCAAAGUCAUGGUUAAGUGGGAAACGAUGUGGGAAGGCCCAGACAGCCAGGAUGUUGGCUUAGAAGCAGCCAUCAUUUAAAGAAAGCGUAAUAGCUCACUGGUCGAGUCGGCCUGCGCGGAAGAUGUAACGGGGCUAAACCAUGCACCGAAGCUGCGGCAGCGACACUAUGUGUUGUUGGGUAGGGGAGCGUUCUGUAAGCCUGUGAAGGUGGCCUGUGAGGGUUGCUGGAGGUAUCAGAAGUGCGAAUGCUGACAUAAGUAACGAUAAAGCGGGUGAAAAGCCCGCUCGCCGGAAGACCAAGGGUUCCUGUCCAACGUUAAUCGGGGCAGGGUGAGUCGACCCCUAAGGCGAGGCCGAAAGGCGUAGUCGAUGGGAAACAGGUUAAUAUUCCUGUACUUGGUGUUACUGCGAAGGGGGGACGGAGAAGGCUAUGUUGGCCGGGCGACGGUUGUCCCGGUUUAAGCGUGUAGGCUGGUUUUCCAGGCAAAUCCGGAAAACCAAGGCUGAGGCGUGAUGACGAGGCACUACGGUGCUGAAGCGACAAAUGCCCUGCUUCCAGGAAAAGCCUCUAAGCAUCAGGUAACAUCAAAUCGUACCCCAAACCGACACAGGUGGUCAGGUAGAGAAUACCAAGGCGCUUGAGAGAACUCGGGUGAAGGAACUAGGCAAAAUGGUGCCGUAACUUCGGGAGAAGGCACGCUGAUAUGUAGGUGAAGCGACUUGCUCGUGGAGCUGAAAUCAGUCGAAGAUACCAGCUGGCUGCAACUGUUUAUUAAAAACACAGCACUGUGCAAACACGAAAGUGGACGUAUACGGUGUGACGCCUGCCCGGUGCCGGAAGGUUAAUUGAUGGGGUUAGCGGCAACGCGAAGCUCUUGAUCGAAGCCCCGGUAAACGGCGGCCGUAACUAUAACGGUCCUAAGGUAGCGAAAUUCCUUGUCGGGUAAGUUCCGACCUGCACGAAUGGCGUAAUGAUGGCCAGGCUGUCUCCACCCGAGACUCAGUGAAAUUGAACUCGCUGUGAAGAUGCAGUGUACCCGCGGCAAGACGGAAAGACCCCGUGAACCUUUACUAUAGCUUGACACUGAACAUUGAGCCUUGAUGUGUAGGAUAGGUGGGAGGCUUUGAAGUGUGGACGCCAGUCUGCAUGGAGCCGACCUUGAAAUACCACCCUUUAAUGUUUGAUGUUCUAACGUUGGCCCCUAAUCGGGGUUGCGGACAGUGUCUGGUGGGUAGUUUGACUGGGGCGGUCUCCUCCUAAAGAGUAACGGAGGAGCACGAAGGUUGGCUAAUCCUGGUCGGACAUCAGGAGGUUAGUGCAAUGGCAUAAGCCAGCUUGACUGCGAGCGUGACGGCGCGAGCAGGUGCGAAAGCAGGUCAUAGUGAUCCGGUGGUUCUGAAUGGAAGGGCCAUCGCUCAACGGAUAAAAGGUACUCCGGGGAUAACAGGCUGAUACCGCCCAAGAGUUCAUAUCGACGGCGGUGUUUGGCACCUCGAUGUCGGCUCAUCACAUCCUGGGGCUGAAGUAGGUCCCAAGGGUAUGGCUGUUCGCCAUUUAAAGUGGUACGCGAGCUGGGUUUAGAACGUCGUGAGACAGUUCGGUCCCUAUCUGCCGUGGGCGCUGGAGAACUGAGGGGGGCUGCUCCUAGUACGAGAGGACCGGAGUGGACGCAUCACUGGUGUUCGGGUUGUCAUGCCAAUGGCACUGCCCGGUAGCUAAAUGCGGAAGAGAUAAGUGCUGAAAGCAUCUAAGCACGAAACUUGCCCCGAGAUGAGUUCUCCCUGACUCCUUGAGAGUCCUGAAGGAACGUUGAAGACGACGACGUUGAUAGGCCGGGUGUGUAAGCGCAGCGAUGCGUUGAGCUAACCGGUACUAAUGAACCGUGAGGCUUAACCUUACAACGCCGAAG